rnacentral:rRNA from 1 species
AGAGUUUGAUCCUGGCUCAGAGCGAACGCUGGCGGCAGGCUUAACACAUGCAAGUCGAGCGGCCGUAGCAAUACGGCAGCGGCAGACGGGAGAGUAACACGUGGGAACGUGCCUAUCAGUUCGGAACAACCCAGGGAAACUUGGGCUAAUACCGGAUACGCCCUUACGGGGAAAGAUUUAUCGCUGAUAGAGCGGCCCGCGUCUGAUUAGCUUGUUGGUGAGGUAACGGCUCACCAAGGCGACGAUCAGUAGCUGGUCUGAGAGGAUGAUCAGCCUCACUGGGACUGAGACACGGCCCAGACUCCUACGGGAGGCAGCAGUGGGGAAUAUUGGACAAUGGGCGCAAGCCUGAUCCAGCCAUGCCGCGUGGAUGAUGAAGGCCUUAGGGUUGUAAAGUCCUUUCGGCGGGGAAGAUAAUGACGGUACCCGCAGAAGAAGCCCCGGCUAACUUCGUG